CCGUUGAGAAAGGUAGGGGUGUACACAAACUUCGGCGGAGCAAGUGAGGGCAAGGUCUUUGGGACCACCCGCACACAAUCACUACUCACAAUUCCAAAAAUACACCUUCACCCGUGAUUCUAAUAUAGAAGCACAAUUCGUUUUCCGAGCACCAGUUGCAAGGUAAGUGCUUUAAAUUGAUGAUCUAUACCGCCUGGGAAGAUGUGAAGUCACCUGAAGUAUACAACAAAAUAGAUGUCAAAAUGAAGUUAUGAAAGGACUCCCUCCAUUUCAUUAUAACUGUCCACUUGUAGAAGUUUUCCAUGUCUCAAAUUGUACGGCCACAUAUCUAAUUUAAAUAUUAAUUUUUUAUUAUUUUAAUCUUGCUGACACAAUGACAUAAUGCAAUUGUUUAUGUCUUGCAUUCUUGAAUUGUUAGUAGCUUGUCUAAGGGUUAUCGACGGAAGGGAAGUUGGCAGGAGCUCUGGUCAUGACUGCCCUGCUAUGUUUUUUAUGGUCAUUCUUUUCAUUUGUAAUGAAAUUUGUGGAAUUCUAUCAUGUCAUUGAAUUUGGUAUUUAGGAUUGUAGCAGAAUUGCAAUUGAUUAGCUGAUUGACAUAUUUUGUAUGAUGAAACAAGGUAAGUAAAAAAAAAUCUCAUUUUUGUGAUUUUACUAUGCUGAAAUGAGCAGCUCCAAUUCUGAUUUCUCACCAUGAUUUUAAAGUGAGGUUGAGUGCAAGAAGAGAAAUGGAAUGAAAUGGAAACCAAUACACACAAUCAGGUUACUUCUUUAACUUUAAAUUGAAUCGUAUGAACUGUUGAAUGAGUCCAUCCAAAUUUCUCCUUCUUGCAGAGAAAACGAGUAUGGAUUGUUUCACUGAUCUCACCAUGACUUCCAAAUCAGGUUGACUGCAGGAAAGAAAAAUGGAAUGUAUCAGAAACCAAUGCAUACAAUCAGAGAGAACAAGUAUGAAACAUGAAAAAGUGUGUGGAUUGUUUCAUAGAUGCUUUUUCUCACCAUGAUUUUCAAAUAAGGUUGACUGCAAGAAGAGAAAUGGAAUGAAUCAGAAACCAAUACACACAAUUGGGUAACUCUUGUUUACUUUAAAUCAUGUAAUAUGACUUAUGGAAGAAAUCAAUCCAAAAUUCUUCUUCCUCUUUUUCUUGCAGAGAGAACGAGUAUGAAACAUUAAAGCAUACGGACUUGUUCUCACCAUGAUUUUCAAAUCAGGUUGAGCACAAGAAGGGCAAUGAAAUGAUGGAAUGAAUCAGAAAACAAUACACACAAUCAGAGAGAGACAGACAGACGGACAGAACAAGCAUGAAACAUGAAAACCUACGAAUUGUUUUCGACUUUGAAUGAAA